AAACAUCCUGGGCAGGGACACAGUUUUCUUAGGGUGAAGCUCAACCCUCACACUCCAAGAGUGGUAAGUCCUACAAUUUCUCCAAACGUGGGAAACUUGACUGCAUCAUUUGCAGCAGUAGAGAGCUGUCUUUGCACUCUCCCAG
rnacentral:snRNA from 1 species